rnacentral:rRNA from 1 species
AGAGUUUGAUCCUGGCUCAGAUUGAACGCUGGCGGCAUGCCUUACACAUGCAAGUCGAACGGCAGCAUGGAGAGCUUGCUCUCUGAUGGCGAGUGGCGAACGGGUGAGUAAUACAUCGGAACGUGUCCGUUUGUGGGGGACAACCGUCCGAAAGGAUGGCUAAUACCGCAUAAGACCUGAGGGUGAAAGCCGGGGACCGCAAGGCCCGGCGCAGACGGAGCGGCCGAUGAUUGAUUAGCUAGUUGGGGAGGUAAAGGCUCACCAAGGCGACGAUCAAUAGCUGGUCUGAGAGGACGACCAGCCACACUGGAACUGAGACACGGUCCAGACUCCUACGGGAGGCAGCAGUGGGGAAUUUUGGACAAUGGGGGCAACCCUGAUCCAGCCAUGCCGCGUGCGGGAAGAAGGCCUUCGGGUUGUAAACCGCUUUUGUCAGGGACGAAAAGCUCCGGAGUAAUAUGCCGGAGUGCUGACGGUACCUGAAGAAUAAGCACCGGCUAACUACGUGCCAGCAGCCGCGGUAAUACGUAGGGUGCGAGCGUUAAUCGGAAUUACUGGGCGUAAAGCGUGCGCAGGCGGUUGGGUAAGACAGAUGUGAAAUCCCCGGGCUUAACCUGGGAACUGCAUUUGUGACUGUCCGACUGGAGUACGUCAGAGGGGGGUGGAAUUCCACGUGUAGCAGUGAAAUGCGUAGAUAUGUGGAAGAACACCGAUGGCGAAGGCAGCCCCCUGGGACGCAACUGACGCUCAUGCACGAAAGCGUGGGGAGCAAACAGGAUUAGAUACCCUGGUAGUCCACGCCCUAAACGAUGUCUGCUGGUUGUUGGGAAUUUAAUUCUCAGUAACGAAGCCAACGCGUGAAGCAGACCGCCUGGGGAGUACGGUCGCAAGAUUAAAACUCAAAG